UGUGAUGUCAUUAUGGGGUAUUGCGAUGUCAUUAUGGGGUAUUGUGAUGUCAGUAUGGGGUAUUGUGAUGUCAGUAUGGGGUAUUGCGAUGUCAGAGUUUAAGGGUUAAUGUUUCUCUAGGUGGUGGCCCUGAAGCAGGCUCUGACCCCAGAGUUUAAGGGUUAAUGUUUCUCCAGUUUAAGGGUUAGUGUGUGUGUGUUAAUGUGUAUGAAUGUUUCUCCAGGUGGUUGCCCUGAAGCAGGCUCUGACCCCAGAGUUUAAGGGUUAGUGUGUGUGUGUUAAUGUGUAUGAAUGUUUCUCUAGGUGUGGCGGUGGCCCUGAAGCAGGCUCUGACCCCAGAGUUUAAGGGUUAGUGUGUGUGUGUUAAUGUGUAUGAAUGUUUCUCCAGGUGGUGGCCCUGAAGAAGGCUCUGACCCCGGAGUUUAAGGGUUAGUGUGUGUGUGUUAAUGUGUAUGAAUGUUUCUCUAGGUGUGGCGGUGGCCCUGAAGCAGGCUCUGACCCCGGAGUUUAAGGGUUAGUGUGUGUGUGUUAAUGUGUAUGAAUGUUUCUCCAGGUGGUUGCCCUGAAGCAGGCUCUGACCCCGGAGUUUAAGGGUU